rnacentral:rRNA from 1 species
AGAGUUUGAUCCUGGCUCAGGAUGAACGCUAGCGGCAGGCCUAACACAUGCAAGUCGAGGGGCAGCACGGUGUAGCAAUACACUGGUGGCGACCGGCGCACGGGUGCGUAACGCGUAUGCAACCUACCCAUAACAGGGGGAUAACACUGAGAAAUUGGUACUAAUACCCCAUAACAUCAGGACCGGCAUCGGUUCUGGUUGAAAACUCCGGUGGUUAUGGAUGGGCAUGCGUUGUAUUAGCUGGUUGGUGAGGUAACGGCUCACCAAGGCAACGAUACAUAGGGGGACUGAGAGGUUAACCCCCCACAUUGGUACUGAGACACGGACCAAACUCCUACGGGAGGCAGCAGUGAGGAAUAUUGGUCAAUGGACGCAAGUCUGAACCAGCCAUGCCGCGUGCAGGAAGACGGCUCUAUGAGUUGUAAACUGCUUUUGUACGAGAGUAAACGCUCUUACGUGUAAGAGCCUGAAAGUAUCGUACGAAUAAGGAUCGGCUAACUCCGUGCCAGCAGCCGCGGUAAUACGGAGGAUCCAAGCGUUAUCCGGAUUUAUUGGGUUUAAAGGGUGCGUAGGCGGUUUGAUAAGUUAGAGGUGAAAUUUCGGGGCUCAACCCUGAACGUGCCUCUAAUACUGUUGAGCUAGAGAGUAGUUGCGGUAGGCGGAAUGUAUGGUGUAGCGGUGAAAUGCUUAGAGAUCAUACAGAACACCGAUUGCGAAGGCAGCUUACCAAACUAUAUCUGACGUUGAGGCACGAAAGCGUGGGGAGCAAACAGGAUUAGAUACCCUGGUAGUCCACGCAGUAAACGAUGAUAACUCGUUGUCGGCGAUACACAGUCGGUGACUAAGCGAAAGCGAUAAGUUAUCCACCUGGGGAGUACGUUCGCAAGAAUGAAACUCAAAGGAAUUGACGGGGGCCCGCACAAGCGGAGGAACAUGUG